rnacentral:rRNA from 1 species
UACGUAGGGUGCGAGCGUUAAUCAGAAUUACUGGGCGUAAAGUGUGCGCAGGCGGCAGAGCAAGUCGAGUGUGAAAGCCCCGGGCUUAACUUGGGAAUUGCGCUCGAAACUACUUUGCUGGAGUGUGGCAGAGGAAGGUGGAAUUCCACGUGUAGCGGUGAAAUGCGUAGAGAUGUGGAGGAACACCAAUGGCGAAGGCAGCCUUCUGGGCCAACACUGACGCUCAUGCACGAAAGCGUGGGGAGCAAACAGG